AGUGGCGCACGGGUGCGUAACGCGUGGGAACCUGCCCUAAGGUUCGGAAUAACUCAGAGAAAUUUGAGCUAAUACCGGAUAAUGUCUUCGGACCAAAGAUUUAUCGCCUUUGGAUGGGCCCGCGUUGGAUUAGCUAGUUGGUGGGGUAAAGGCUCACCAAGGCGACGAUCCAUAGCUGGUCUUAGAGGAUGAUCAGCCACACUGGGACUGAGACACGGCCCAGACUCCUACGGGAGGCAGCAGUGGGGAAUAUUGGACAAUGGGCGAAAGCCUGAUCCAGCAAUGCCGCGUGAGUGAUGAAGGCCUUAGGGUUGUAAAGCUCUUUUACCCGGGAUGAUAAUGACAGUACCGGGAGAAUAAGCCCCGGCUAACUCCGUGCCAGCAGCCGCGGUAAUACGGAGGGGGCUAGCGUUGUUCGGAAAUACUGGGCGUAAAGCGAACGUAGGCGG
rnacentral:rRNA from 1 species